rnacentral:lncRNA from 1 species
CGAAGCAGAUUAUUGGUAGAGGGCGUGAGUCAGAGGGUCUCUACGUCUUGGAUCAGCAACUACCUAGAUCACUUGCAUGUUCCACGCGUUUAACACCUUUUGAUGUUCAUUGUCGUUUGGGGUAUCCUUCUCUCUCAGCUUUGAAGAAGUUAUAUCCACAGUUUCAUUCUUUGUCUGUUUUAGAUUGUGAGUCUUAUCAAUUUGCCAAACAUCAUCGUUUGCCUUCAGUAUUUCGAGUCAAUAAACGGGCUUCGUCCCCCUUUGAGUUAGUACAUUCAGAUGUUUGGGGGUCCUUGUCCUACUGUGUCUAAGUUUGGCUUUAAGUACUUUGUUACUUUUGUUGAUGACUUCUCUCGUAUUACUUAGUUAUUUUUAAUGAAGAGUCCAGAAUUAUGUUCUAUAUUUUGUGCGUUUUAUGCUGAAAUCCAAACCCAAUUCAAUGUUCCCAUUCGUAUAUUGCAAAGUGAUAAUGCUAAAGAGUAUCUCUCUAGGGAAUUUCAAUCUUAUUUGUUACAAAAAGGGAUUCUUCAUCAGUCCUCUUGUGUUGACACUCCUUCACAAAAUGGAGUUGCCGAAAGAAAAAAUCGACAUCUUCUUGAAGUAGCCAGAGCCCUCUUAUUCCAAAUGAAAGUACCUAAAUGUUUUUGGGCUGAUGCUGUAUCCACUGCUUGUUUUUUGAUUAAUCGCAUGCCUUCCUCCAUCCUUCAUGGUGAUAUCCCUUAUAAUGUUUUGUUUCCCACUAAAUCUUUGUUUCCUAUUGAGCCACGUAUCUUUGGGUGUACUUGUUUUGUUCGUGAUGUUCAUCCACAGGUUACUAAAUUAGAUCCCAAAUCACUCAAAAGUGUCUUCCUUGGCUACUUUCGACGUCAAAAAGGGUAUCGUUGUUUUUCUCCUGAUCUGAAUCGGUAUCUUGUGUCUGUAGAUGUAACAUUCUUUGAGUCCACUCCGUUUUUUCCGCCAUCCUUUGUUUAUAACACCCAAGGUGAGGAAGAUGACCUUUUGUUAUACACUGUUCGCUCUCUGUCUCCUCAAACUACUCCUACACCUUUCGCUCAUGUGCCAGGUCGCCCUCCCAUCUUUCAUGUGUAUUCCAGACGCUUAGAGGACUCUGACUCCGCUCCGCUACCCGCUUCUUCGUCGACAGAUCCUGCUCCCACUCAUCCUUCACUGUCUGAUUUGGAUUUGCCCAUUGCUCUUCGCAAAGGUAAAUGUACUUGCACUUAUCCUAUUUCAGCUUGUGUCUCUUAUGAUCAAUUAUCCUCUUCUUCUCGUUGUUUUGCCACUGCUUUAUAUUCUAUUUCAGUUCCCAAAACUGUUAUUGAGGCUUUAUCCCAUCCUGGUUGGCGUGCUGCAAUGGAAGAGGAAAUGAUGGCCCUUGACACUAAUGGUACUUGGGAGUUGAUGUCUUUGCCCCCAGGAAAGCGGGCUAUUGGGUGCAAAUGGGUGUUUGCAGUAAAAGUAAAUCCUGAUGGAUCUGUUGCUCGCCUCAAGGCUCAUUUAGUGGCCAAAGGUUAUGUACAAACUUAUGGAGUUGACUAUUCUGAUACAUUUUCCCUAGUUGCCAAGCUCGCAUCUGUUCGAUUGUUUAUUUCCUUGGCAGCUACACAUGAUUGGCCUUUGCAUCAACUGGAUAUUAAAAAUGCUUUUCUUCAUGGUGAUCUUCAGGAGGAGGUUUAUAUUGAGGAACCACCUGGUUUUGUUGCUCAGGGGGAGUCAGGCAAGGUUUGUAGACUUCGAAAAUCCCUUUAUGGCUUGAAACAGAGUCCUCGGGCAUGGUUUGGUAGGUUUAGUGAGGUGAUCCAACAGUUUGGAAUGAAUAUGAGUAAGUGUGAUCACUCGGUGUUUUAUAUAAAUUCUGAUAGUGGAUUAAUUCUGCUUGUAGUAUAUGUGGAUGAUAUCGUUAUCACAGGAAGUGAUAUUGUUGGCAUCACAUCCCUAAAAGAAUUUCUUAAAACACAGUUUCAUAUAAAGGAUUUGGGUUCAUUGAAAUAUUUCUUGGUAAUCGAAGUUAUGCGGUGUAAGAAAGGCAUCUUCUUGUCUCAAAGAAAAUAUGUUCUUGAUUUGUUAGCAGAAACAGGAAAAUUGGGUGCUAAGCCUUGUAGUGCUCCAAUGACCCCUAACCUUCAACUUACCACAGAAGACAGUGAGCCAUUUGCAGAUCCUGAAAGGUAUAGAAGAUUAGUUGGCAAGGUGAAUUAUUUGACGGUGACUCGUCCUGAUAUUGCAUAUUCAGUGAGUGUGGUAAGUCAGUUUAUGACAUCUCCUACUGUUGCCCAGUGGGAUGCUUUGGGACAGAUUCUUUGUUACCUUAAAUGGGCCCCAGGGCGAGGGCUAUUCUAUGGCAAGCAUGGGCACUCAAAUAUUGAAUGCUUUUCUGAUGCUGAUUGGGCAGGCUCGAAGGUUGAUAGGAGGUCAACUACUGGGUAUUGUGUUUUUGUGGGAGGUAACUUGGUCUCAUGAAAAAGUAAAAGGCAAAAUGUGGUCUCCCGUUCUAGUGCUGAAUCUGAAUAUCGAGCCAUGGCACAAGCCGUUUGUGAAGUCUUGUGGGUACGUCAACUAUUAGAAGAAGUUGGGUUCACAAAUUCGGUGCCUGCUAAGUUGUGGUGUGAUAAUCAAGCAGCUAUCCACAUUGCCUCUAAUCCAGUAUUUCACGAGAGGACUAAACACAUCGAGAUUGAUUGUCAUUUUGUUCGUGAAAAGGUCCAACAAAAGAUAAUAUCAACAGGAUAUAUCCGAACUGGAGAACAAUUAGGAGAUAUCUUUACUAAAGCUCUAAAUGGAACUCGAGUUGAUUAUAUAUGUAACAAGUUCUGCAUGAUUAACAUUUAUGCUCCAACUUGAGGGGGAGUGUUAUAGGUUAUAGGAAGUAAAUAUUGAUAGAUGGGUUAGCUACUUAAUCUUGGGGUUGCAUAAUCAUAGGCUUGAUUUUCCUUCCUGUUUAGAUACCGUCUCUCAUGUAUAAAUAAGUUGUAGUCUCUAUUGUGAUAUACAACAAAUAUUGUCUUUCUAUGGGUAUUUAUACUAUUUACUUGUUUACAUGUAAGAAAGAAUGCAUAAUUACAACACAUAAAUCAGCGGUAGUCUUAAGCCAUAAUUACAACCAAAUCAUAUCUCAACAAGAUUAUUAGGCUUAUAAUUAUAAUAAAUUACAUUUAGAUCUAAAUGUAUAUCAUAUUAGAGUAAAAAUCAGUAACUUAUACUCCAAUAAAAACUUAAAGACAUGAGUGAGUCAACUAAAAGUAAUGUAACUUAAUCAUUUAAGUAAGCCUAUUUGAAUACUAAAGUCUAUGUUAAUAAAUGAGACAUUAAGGAAAUCAAUUAGCUUUUCAUGAGUUAAUUCCCACUCCCAACAAAAACUGCUAACUAGCGUGACGCCCAUUGAUUAAUGAUAGUUAACAUGUAUAUAAUUUAUAUCCAUUGGUAAAAUUAAAUAUGCACUUGCAGAAGAAAAAGGUAAUUUACCAUAAAAUUUAUAGCACUUUUUUACAAUGUAUAAAUUUCAUAGGAAAAUGGAUUGAGUUUGGUGGAUAACUGGUAUAAAAAAUAAUUUUUAGUUUAUCUUUGGGUUAUGAAUAAAUAAAAAUUUAAUAAUUUCCAGAAAAGUAUAUAUUAAUUUUAAUGAAUAAGUAUGCAAAAUUUUAUUACACCAAGAAAAAUAAUUACCAGUAAAAGGAAAUAAAAAGCUACAAAAUUACAAAAUUUGAACAUAAAAAUAUUUUUGGCUGUGUGGUUGAAUGAGUCCUUUGAUGAGGUGUAAAGUUUAGCUACUAUCCAUAGUUAAUGUGGGACAAUGCAUGUGGAGGCUUGGUAAAAGCACCACUUGGGUAUCUAGUUCCAAUUAUCAGGUCUAUCUAUUAAUAAUCAUUUGUUUCUUGGAUUCGUGGCUCCUUAGGUUAAAAAUGUUGCUGCUGGGUUGCUUCAUUCAGCAUGCAUUGAUGGUAUGAGUUGAUGAUUUUUUUUUCCUGCUUGUUGGUUUUUUUGUGGCGUUUUUUUGAGGUAAUAUCAUUAUUAUAGAUUUGUGUGAAGCACAUAUUUUUUUGUCUAAAAUCUUGGAUUUUGCAGAAAAUGGCGCCAUUUUUGUAUUUGGUGAAAGAGUAACCGGUAGAUUGGUAAGUUUAAGUUUUGAUUAUUCUCUCUUUCUAGACUUUGUUCGUACGGGAAAUACAACUUUUUUGGGAAAAUAAACUUUGUGAAAAUUUUUGAAGUGAUUUUUUUUUCUUGUUGUAACAUUGAAAAACAACUUAGAAGAAUUAAUUUUAGGGUUUAGUGUGGAUGUAGAAAUUUAGUUGCAAUGGAACCAAUUGUAAUGCAUAUGUUAUGGAUGCAUUCAUGGGUAAGCACUACAACAAGCACUCCCAACAGAACUAGGAGUCUGUUGGUGGUAGAAGCUUACCUCUUCAAAUUAAGUGAUUCAUCUCAUUCCGAGUUUAUCAAGUAGUUGAUUAGAUUUUUGUUUAGUUAUUCUUACUUUUAUCUAGUUAUCUAUAGAUUAGUUACCAUAUUUAAAACCCUUGCUUGUAUUUGAUAAGGUUAUAUGAAUAUAAUCCUUAAUCAAUUGUAAGCCUCACUAUGAAAAGGAGUUAUUACUAAUGAAUGAAAUAAGGAGAAACUAUUUACCAAAUUCUUCCAAGAUCUGGAGCUCUCUGAGGUUCCGGCGCUUCCUCUAUUGAGCACUCAAAUUAUUUCGUCAUAAAUUCCACCUGGAGAGGUGGUGACCAUAAUAAAGGCAAGGUUAUAAUUGAAGACAAUUCUCCUACUUGCACACCCGUUGUAACGACCCGAAAACCGGACCGCUACCGGCACUAGGAUCCAGAUCGGUUUAAGGCCGCCGGGACCCGUAGCAAGCCUAACAUAUAACCUGUAAAUCUGUGUAAUCCCAUACAUGAUCAUACAAGACAUAAACAUGUAAACUUUUUCUUUCGCAAAUCAAGCUUAACCUGUGCAUGCACACUAACAUAACCAUAAACCUCACACUGGAGCCCUCAUCACAUGCUCCAAUGGGGUAUCAAUAACAUACAUUAAGCUUGAUUACUCAUCUCAUCAGUAAUAAUGAUGAUCAUGCAUUAAAAGGGAUACAAUACACAUAGGGUCAAGCACAACCUCUAAUCCUCAAUAUUAUUUUACAUAUCAUGACUACAUAAGACAUUACAUUACAAUUUCAUCAUGUCCACAACUUCUAACUAUUACAUGAAAAUAACUUUACUCCUGCUGACCUCCUGGUCUACCCUGUACCUGCAAACCUGGGGUAUAAGGGGAAAGGGGUGAGCUACUAGAGCCCAGUGAGCAGAAUAAUAAAACAUUUAUAUUUUUCAUGCUUACAUGAAAUGCAACAUAUCACAAACAAUUCACAUCAAGGAUGGACUUGUCACCAAGGGUCCUCUACAUAGUCCAACUGUGCCAGGGGCGUAGUGCAGGCCACACCUGGUCUUUCUCUUACAUAUAUCACAACAUACAUGUCCAAAUGUGCCGGGGGCGUAGUGCAGGCCACACCCGGACUUUCACUUACAUAGUGCCAGGGGCGUAGUGCAGGCCACACCUGGUCUUACAUAUCAUAUCAUAUCUCAUCAUACUGAGGACCAAUGGGUCAUCCAACAUCCAUCCACAUCAACAUCAAGAUAUGCAAUGCAACAUAUUCGUGAAUUUUAAUGCAAACAACCUAAAAUAUCUCAUGGCAUUCGUGAUGCAUGAUCUAUGCUAAGAUUUUCAUUUUUAUUUAAAAGAUAAGAGUUUAUUCUACUUACCUCUGGCUGACUCUGACAAGACUCUGAAGCAGCUGUCACUGCUGGGGUCCUCGGUUCCUCGGGUCCGAACCUACAAAGGUGGACUCAAAUGAGGGACCAAACAUACUAGAACAUGACUCUAAACAUCCCCCAAAAAUCCCCUUAAAACACCUCAAAACAUCCAUGGGAAGCAUGCAAAGGAAGGCUAAACAGGACACUUUCGGCGGCAGGUUCGGCGGCCGAAAGUCCCUCCAGAGCCGAAAGUCAGGCAGGUUCGGCGGCACCUUCAGCGGCCGAAACUCCCAGAUAGAGACGAAACUCAUGCAUGUUCGGCGGCACUUUCGGCGGCCGAAACUACCCUCCAGAGAUGAAAGUCCUCUUUCGGGGGCAGGCUUCGGCAGCCGAAAGGCUUGCCUCCCAAGCAGGUUCGGCGGCCGAAAGUCCUUCGGCUGCCGAACCUGGUUUCUGCCAAAGGGCAGAAACUUGGUUCCUCAUGCACAGUUGCCUCCCAACCUUUUAGAUCAAGCAUACAACUCACUCAAAACAUACAUAGAUACAUACAUCAGCUCCUAGGGGCUUCAAACUAUCCUAAACCCCAUCUACAACACAUCAAACAACCACAAGCAUCAUACAUUGCUCAAAAACUUAACAUAACCCUUAAACCAACCAAAAACCUAAACAUGCAUUUCUACCCCAAAGAUCAACUUAAAACUUGUUUAAAACGUAAAAUGAGCUCAAGAUCGGCUCUUACCUCUUGAAGAUCGAGAGGAGAACGACCCUAGCUCGGAGAUGGGAGAGAUUGAGCUUCUUGAACCUCAAAGUUUCAAAACUUGCUUUAUACUCGAAAAUCUUCAAAACGAAGGUGAAAACUCAUAAAAAUCAUGAAGAAUGGAAGGAAGAAACUCAAGAUCGGUGAGGGAUGGCGGAGAGCUCACCUUGGCCAAAAAUGGGGAGAAAAACUCGCCCGUUUUCGGCUAAGGGACCCAUUUAUAGGUGGCUGGCCAGGCCACAUUUGGGAGCCGAACGUGCCUCCGCAACGCAUGCAAGUUCGGCGGCCGAACCUGGACUUCCUUCACUUAUGCUUUCGGGGGCCUAAGGCUCUCCCGAAGUGCAUGCAUGUUCGGCGGCCGAACCUGGGUCUUCCUCCAAGAUUAUUUUCAUGCAAAAACUCAUUUCCUUUUUACUUAAAACCAUGAAGUACAUUAAAACAUUUUAUGAAAACAUGUUUCUACCCUACUAGAGGCUUCCGACAUCCGAGAUUCCACCGGACGGUAGGAAUUCCGAUACCGGAGUCUAGCCGGGUAUUACACCCGUGACUCGAUCCUUAACUCGAGAAUUUAACAUAAUCCAUGUGGACUUCAUAUUUUAGUUUCAGAAGAAAAUUUUGUAGAUAACUUAUAAGAAAUUGAACUUGGGCAUAAUUGAUCCCAAAAGCUAGCAUAAGGGUGGGAGAAAUGCUCAAAUCUAGCAGAAGUUACACUACUUGCACACUGAAUCUAUGUGGAAUAAGUAAUACACCUUCGUCAUAGACAGGACUAACACCUAAAGCAUGAAUACUUGUGGAGAGAGUUAGGAGCAUGGUUUUAACAUAACGGCCGUUAUGUAACGAGUUUUGGGGGGCUGAUACCCGUUACCCCGUUAUACAACGGCUCUCCUGAGUUGUAGGCGUAAUGGCCGCUGCUGUUACUAAUAAUUAAAAUUCUUUUAUAUCUUCCAUCUUCUACCCUUAUUCUCAUUUUUAUCAGUUUCCACACUUUUCAGCAGUUUCAAAAAUAAUAUUUUUUAAGUUCUCCCUUCCCUUUCUCUUUCAGAUUUUAAUCCUCUCCGCGUAUUUCUCAUAUAAACUUGAUCCAUCACAAACUAAUGCAUUUCUAAGUAUUUCCUCUAAAUUGUUAUUUUAUACUUUGGUUUUUAGUAGCUGUUUUUUUUUCUAAAUUUUUGUGGAUUAAAGUAUUAAUUUUGAGUUUAAAUUGUAUUUUGAGCUAUUAAUUUACUUAAUCUAUAAAAAUUGUACUGGUUUUUCUUAUUUUAAACUAUAUGCGUUUUAACUUAAGUUAAAUAAUCUAUAUUUGAUGUAUUUAUAUUUAUUAUGCAUUUGUAUAUGUUGUUUUAUAUUAAAUCUAAUCAAUAUCAUUUCAUUUUAUGAACUUUGCAAAUUUUUUUGAAAAAUUUGCAUAGCGCCAUGCCAUUACCAUUACGUUACGACCAUUAUAUGUAUGUUUUCAUUACUCACAACUGCGACCGCGAACACAGCCAUGACCGCGAUUUAAAACAAUGGUUAGGAACAAGAUAAAUAAGAUUCCAAUAGAAAUUUUAAUGGAGAUUGAUAAUUUGUAUUAAUAGAAAGUUAAAAUCUCAUAUUCAACAAUACAGUAUGAGGAGAUGCUAUUCAACAUAGAUAAAGGGUCCUUAAUUGUGGGAAGUUAUUUGCAAUUACUUAUAAUUGUUUAUUCUUUUUUUUUUUUUUUUGAAAUUCUGUGUAUAAAUUGCCAUGUAAAUUAUUUUUAAAAUUAAGUUAGAAAUACAAACAAAUUUAUAAAUUCUUUCAAAAUCUUCAUGGUAUUAGAGCCCUAAACUUCAUUUUAGGGUUUUAAUUUGCAUUAAUUUCAAUUUUAGGAUUUCUGAAACCCUAAGGCUAUUGAUUUGGUACUGGUAUAGGUAAGGGCCCUCUUUGAGUAAGUGCAUUAAGAUGGUGGUUUCAAGUAUUUCAAUAUUUUUUUUUUUGAUGAUUUCUCUCUUGCUACUUAUUUAUUUUUAAUGAAGAAUGGUUCAAAACAGAUUUUCCAUUUUUUGUGUUGAAAUUCAAAAUCAAUUCAGUAUGUCUAUUCGAGUGUUGUGAAUUGAUAAUGCUAAAGGAAUAUCUUUUUAGUAAGUUCCAAUCUUAUUUGUCACAGAAAGGAAUUUUUCAUCUGUUAUAAGUUAUAGAAAGUAAAUAUGUUAAUAUAGGAAGUAAAUAUUGAUAGAUGGGUCAGUUGCUUAAUCUUAGGGAUUGUAUAAUUAUAGACUUAAUUUUUCUUCCUGUUUAGAUACCGUCUCUCAUGUAUAAGUAGGUUGUAAUCUCUAUUGUGAAAUAUAACAAAUAUUAUCCUUCUAUAUGGUAUCAGAGCCAUUCUCGUAGAGAUUUAAUUUUUUUUUUUCUCUCUAGUCAAGUUUAAAUAAUAUCAAUAAAAAAAAAAUUUGGAGAUUUAGGGAUCUGUUCAUUUGGGUUACCCAUAAAGGGUAACAUUUGGAUCUCACCAUCGCUGGAGUCGCCACAUCAUUCCCUUGUCAGAUCUGAGGUUUGUUUGCCGUUCGGGUUUUGUUCAUCGGUACUGUUCACGGUACUGUUCAUAGGCACUGUUCACGGGUACUGUUCACGCCGGUACUGUUCAUGCCGAAUACUGUUUUCUGAUUCUGUGUUUUUUUUGUUGCUAUCGUUUUGGGUUGGUUGUCCUUAUGGCUGAAGUUAAAACCACCACCAUAACUGAUGUGAUUCCUAUGAUGACUGAAAUCACGGAACACAAAUUGAAUGGAUCUUCCGAUCAGGAAAUUUUGAUAUCUGCAGAUGAAUAUGUACAAUUCAUCCAAUACCAGGCAUCUCUAAAAUCCUCUAAUUCCUCCUUUAUCACUGCAAUUGCCGAGUCAGGUAAUUCUACUGCAUGUCUUGUGUCUUUAUCCUCCAAAUGGGUUAUUGAUUCUGGUGCUACCGAUCAUAUGUCAGGUAAUUCUAACAUUUUGUCCAAUCUUGAGUCUCAUACAUCGCCUUCUUAUGUUACUCUUGCUGAUGGCACUAAAUCUUCUGUCAUGGGUUCUGGUCAUGUCAACUUAAUCCCUUCUCUUUUUAUAUCCUCUGUGUUAUGUCUCCCUAAGUUCGUGUUUAAUUUGCUUUCCGUGAGUAAACUCACUCGUGCAUUGAAUUGCUGUAUCUCAUUCUUUCCUGAUCACUGUGUUUUUCAGAAUCUUUCGACGAAGCAGAUUAUUGGUAGAGGGAGUGAGUCAGAGGGUCUUUACGUCUUGGAUUAGCAACUAUCUCGAUCUCCUCGAUCUCUGGUAUGCUCCACGCGUUUAACACCUUUUGAUGUUCAUUGUCGUUUGGGGCAUCCUUCUCUCUCGGCUUUGAAGAAGUUAUGUCCACAGUUUCAUUCUUUGUCUGUUCUAGAUUGUGAGUCUUGUCAAUUUGCCAAACAUCAUCGUUUACCUACACUAUCUUGAGUCAAUAAACGGGCUUCGUCCUCCUUUGAGUUAGUCCAUUCAGAUGUUUGGGGUCCUUGUCCUGUUGUGUCUAAGUCUGGCUUUAAGUAUUUUGUUACUUUUGUUGAUGAUUUCUCUCGUACUACUUGGUUAUUUUUAAUGAAGAGUCGUUCAAAAUUAUUUUCUAUUUUUUGUGCAUUUUAUGCUGAAAUCCAAACCCAAUUCAAUGUUCCCAUUCGUAUAUUGCAAAGUGAUAAUGCUAAAGAGUAUCUCUCUAGGGAAUUUCAAUCUUAUUUGCUACAAAAAGGGAUUCUUCAUCAGUCCUCUUGUGUUGACACUCCUUCACAAAAUGGAGUUGCCGAAAGAAAAAAUCGACAUCUUCUUGAAGUAGCCAGAGCCCUCUUAUUCCAAAUGAAAGUAC